GUGACGAGAACGGUAAUAUAACAUUGUUUAAAACGGAAAAAAAUAAUUAUUACGCGUGUAAAUCUCUGAAGUUGGUAAAUAUAUCGUCGGCUGUGCAUGUUGAAAUAAAAAAUUUAAAAAUUGAGUUUUUUCACAAUGAUAAGUCUGAACAUUUUAGCAUAAUUGGAAAUCAUUGUGAUUCAGAUUUAAGAAAGAAUACUAGGAUUCCAAUUAUUUUGGGAUCUAUAAUAAUUGUUAUGCUGACGGUCGCAUUUGUGACUUUUCUGUUGAUAAGAAGAAAACAGAGUUCUACUUAUAACUUGUUUUAACUUUCUAUAUCAAUUUUAUUCUUA